rnacentral:rRNA from 1 species
GAUGAACGCUGGCGGCGUGCCUAAUACAUGCAAGUCGAGCGAACAGACGAGGAGCUUGCUCCUCUGACGUUAGCGGCGGACGGGUGAGUAACACGCGGAUAACCUACCUAUAAGACUGGGAUAACUUCGGGAAACCGGAGCUAAUACCGGAUAAUAUAUUGAACCGCAUGGUUCAAUAGUGAAAGACGGUUUUGCUGUCACUUAUAGAUGGAUCCGCGCCGCAUUAGCUAGUUGGUAAGGUAACGGCUUACCAAGGCAACGAUGCGUAGCCGACCUGAGAGGGUGAUCGGCCACACUGGAACUGAGACACGGUCCAGACUCCUACGGGAGGCAGCAGUAGGAAAUCUUCCGCAAUGGGCGAAAGCCUGACGGAGCAACGCCGCGUGAGUGAUGAAGGUCUUCGGAUCGUAAAACUCUGUUAUUAGGGAAGAACAAAUGUGUAAGUAACUAUGCACGUCUUGACGGUACCUAAUCAGAAAGCCACGGCUAACUACGUG